rnacentral:rRNA from 1 species
CAAUAGCGUAUAUUAAAGUUGUUGCAGUUAAAAAGCUCGUAGUUGGAUUUCGGGAUGGCCCGGCCGGUCUGCCGCAAGGUAUGUUACUGGCCGAGCUGUUCUUCUUCGCAAAGACUGUGUGUGCUCUUAACUGAGUGUGCUCAGGAUCUGUGACGUUUACUUUGAAAAAAUUAGAGUGUUCAAAGCAAGCCAGCGCUUGAAUACAUAAGCAUGGAAUAAUGGAAUAGGACUUUGGUUCUAUUUUGUUGGUUUCUGGAACCUUAGUAAUGAUUAAGAGAGACAGUUGGGGGCAUUCGUAUUUCGUUGUCAGAGGUGAGAUUCUUGGAUUUACGAAAGACGAACUACUGCGAAAGCAUUUGCCAAGAAUGUUUUCAUUAA